UUAGCGGGUACCUGUUUGGCGCGCGGGUACGAUGGCAGUCGCCUCUGAACAUUAGCGCACCCUUUAAACCCUUCAUACUUCUUGGUGCUUUACAGACUGUUUUCUGGAAACUACCCACACGAGAAAACCCAGGAAGCUUCAUGCCUCCUGUACUACGUGAUGGAUUCUCUACCUUGUCGUGUGGUAAGAAGUUGAUUCAGAUUACCGCAAGCAAAUCCACAGCCAGUUAAAAAACUUUUCCACUUUACACAACCUGAAAGAAGAAGACUUCUGACUCAGCUCAACUUCCUUCCCAACGUCUUACUUAAGGAGCCUCUGUUUUUUGUAGAUUCUUUGAAUUCUGUUGCGAGGAUGGUUACCACCAUGGGAUGACUGGCGGUCAUGACUUGUGAUGUCAUUAGGACAACCAUACAAAGAACUGGGACAUCCAUUACUGUGUGUUAGCAGUCUUAGAGGAACCACAGGAGGUGGAACACGGAAUACGCAAAGAAUCAAGAAAACAGACUGCUGGAGGCAGGAAGAUUGACCUUCUGUAACCUGUCUCAUUUUGAUCUCCAUUCAGAAGUUGAGCAAUUCAAAAAGG